CCGAAACCCAGUUUCUUCAUCUGUCCAAGUGGAAUAAUCAUAUCUGCCCAUUUCCCAGAAUUGCUGCAAGACUUCCAUGAGAUAAUGUGUGCAGAGGGCACAGAGUUCCUAGCAAAGUGCUCAAAAAAAGGGUAGAAGUUAUGAUUUCUUCUUGAAAAUUCUCGACACAAGCCUUGGGUGUUUUGCCACUCUCACGAGAAUUAAAUACAAGCAUUUAUCUCCAGGGUGGCGUGCCUAGCUAGAACGCUUAGGACUUUUGCGUCUAAUCUUACAACACUCCUUUAAAGGAUUAUACCCCUUUUCGACAUGCUCAGAGAAGCUAAGUAACAACAGUGGCAGGACGUGCUUCUGGGUUGAGAGGAAGCCCUUCGGUUCUGAAGGCCCAGUAAGGUGAGGUUUAUUAUCUGCACACCCCAGCUCAGCAUACCACGGGU
rnacentral:lncRNA from 1 species